GGGUGUUCCCGAGGUUUCAGCUCACUGUGGAAAAGAGCAGAGCAGAGGUUGCCGCGGAAAAGAAAGCUGCAGUAGAGCGGAAGAUGAGUAGAGGGGGCUCUGCCGGCAGGCUGCUGCAGAGGUGGAAGAGACUUCCCCCCUCCAUGCUGCUGCAGCGCAAGCCAAGCUCAAGGCAGCAAGACAUGGCGAAGGAGCCUUCUGCCAGCGCGCUCCCGCCAUGUGCAGGCAGCUCCCGCGGGACGAAGAAAGCAGGACAGAAGGAAGCAUCUACUCCUGCCCAGACCAGCACUGCACUCCCUGCCACAGAGGAGUCUAAGAGGGUGCUGCAGGAGCUCCGGGAAGUGUCUGCAUUGUGGAAAGAAGCAGACCACACGUGGCCCAUGCACAAGCAGCAAGUAGAGCAAGCACAGGCAGAAAGGGCGGCAUGGGAAGGCUGGAGCAUAGGGGCGGACCAGCGUCCACCCCAGGUACCAGCAGGGAUCGAGCCUGCUGGCAACAGCCGCCAUCCUCUGAGCCAGGGUGCAAGCUCAGCAGGGCUGAGGGGGUGGGAGCGGGACGGGCACCGCGCAGCAUGGCAGGGGCUGGCCUGCUCCUCCCUGGGAGGAGAGCUUGGCAGGAGCCCCGCAGGGAGCAGGGAAGGGCGGUGGGCAGCCGUGGGCUGGCAGGGCCGAGUCUCCUGCUUGCCGGGGCCUGCUGCAGGACCCUUGACAGAGGGCCUCUGGGAAACAGCCCCAUGCUCCCAGCUGCUUUGCUGACAGCGUCUCCUCUUUGGCAGCUGCUGGCCAGGCAGAGCAUGCAUGCUCCGCAUCCUCCAGCCCAGCCCAGGGGACAGCAAGUGGAGAGGAGGUGGAGGAAAGAUGUGGAUCCUCUGCCGGGAAGUAAAAUGGGAACAGCAACCAAGCUGGCACUGCAUUCUGAGUAAGUGUGUGCGGGCUCUGCUGGCUGCCUGAGGCACUCGGGCAGCUGUGACACCACAGCUCAGGGAUAGGCACGGCCCGGGCCAAAAACUCUGGCAGGGUGGGGACACGCGGCAGCAUGGGGAUGCUGGGCUGGGUGAGGGGAGAGGCAGGGGGGCUCAGCAGAGCCCAAGGGAUGACUUUCUCCUCCUGCUGCAGCCUCCUUUCCCCACGAGUGGCUCAGGUGCUCCAAAGGUUGGAGCUGCACCUCCAUCAGCAAGAGGCUUUUGCCAGCACAGCGGAAAGAAACCGGCAGAAGCUGGAGCUGAAGCGGCAGCUCCCCUGGUGAGCUCCACAGGCAGCAGAUCCUGAGAGCCG
rnacentral:lncRNA from 1 species